UUCAUUGCACAAUUUAGGUUCUUCUAUUAACCAACCAUACAUGCAGAAAACAUGCAAAAUCCACAUCGGAAGGCUUUAGCAGAGAUUUGAACCGGUAACCUUAGACAUAUUAACCGCUAUUAUCCUGUGCUACAGCAAAACCUAAGUACUUUUUUUUUUUUUUUUGACUGGUUCACUUCACUUCACAGGACAAAUUAUGUUUAACGGCGAUUCCACUGUAACGUGAUCUCUUGGGUUACGAAUGUCAGUUUUGAGUCAUUCCUCUAAAUUUUAAAAGACACCCUUAGCAGUUUUUUUUUCUAUUCUGUUACAAAACUAACACGCAGCUCCAUCGAAACCAAAAUGACCAGUCUUUGAUCCCCCCCCGCCCCCAACCACCUGCCAUAUUACAUAUAAUGUGACUGAGAUCAAGAGAAAAUACAUAUGUGAGUUCAAAAUGCAUUUUACAUCAAAAGGACGGACUAAAACAUAGCUUUGAUUUGGCAAACCCAUCCUUGUAGAUAUUUGAGUGCUCGGCUUUGAAGCAUCCACACCGCCUGAUUAUGCUUCUGUGCCAUUUCUUUCUCCAUUUCUCUUUCACAGAGAUCGAAUGAUUCUUACUUUUUUUUUUCUUUUUUUUUUUUUUUUUUAGAUACGUGAGAGCUGAAUGAUAAGCGAGACAGGAAGAUGCUGUGCUUAUUUCCAUGGCAGCCAUCAGCACUGAAGAGAAGCUCGCCGAUGAUACUGAUGAAGAGAUGUGCGUGCUUGGAAGCUCCAGGAAAUCACACAGAGAACCCAGUGAAGCGGGAUAUUACAGCAACUGCGUGCGCUUUCACACACCAAUACGGCAUCCGGCCAUCAAAUGGUUCAGUGACUGAAGUCAGCCCCAGAAUUUGAUGCGAGAGCACUUGUUGGAUGUACACAUUGUUUUCAACGCAACAGGACAGGAAAAACGGAAAGGAACGUUUCCCAGCACCCGGCACUGGAGCUGACCAUUCCGGCCGGAAUCUUUAUCCGUCACUCUGAC